GACGAACGCUGGCGGCGUGCUUAACACAUGCAAGUCGAACGGAAAGGCCCUGCUUUUGUGGGGUGCUCGAGUGGCUAACGGGUGAGUAACACGUGAGUAACCUGCCCUUGACUUUGGGACAACUUCAGGAAACUGGGGCUAAUACCGGAUAGGAGCUCCUGCUGCAUGGUGGGGGUUGGAAAGUUUCGGCGGUUGGGGAUGGACUCGCGGCUUAUCAGCUUGUUGGUGGGGUAGUGGCUUACCAAGGCUUUGACGGGUAGCCGGCCUGAGAGGGUGACCGGACACAUUGGGAAUGAGAUACGGCCCAGACUCCUACGGGAAGCAGCAGUGGGGAAUAUUGAACAAUGGGCGGAAGCCUGAUGCAGCAACGCCGCGUGCGGGAUGACGGCCUUCGGGUUGUAAACCGCUUUCGCCUGUGACGAAGCGUGAGUGACGGUAAUGGGUAAAGAAGCACCGGCUAACUACGUG
rnacentral:rRNA from 1 species